ACUCGGGUUGCACUGGACGUGGCUGCUGUGAUCUGACCCAUGGGUAUCAGCUGUAGUGUUUGGGGUCGUUAAGUCUUAAGACUCGAGUCAGAGUUCCGUGACAGAUACACCAUUUGUGCGUGUAGGUGGAAUAUCUACAGCGGCACUAAAGAAAGUACUCCGUAGGAUUGUAGUUCCUGACUAGAGAAGAGAGGAGCGGUUUUGAAGCGCCCGCCGCUCUGUGGGUCCACAGACUAGCUAGUGGUAAGCGCAAAUCUCAGGUUGAACAAGGAGGAAAAAGAGCUGGAAUCACAGAGGAGACCCCUGAGUGACCUUAGGGAUCUGGACUUCCGGGCUGGUGACUGGCCUCCACUUUUGACGCCUCCGUGGCGUCUACUAGAGACGGCUUUCGAGGCGGCUGCCGGCGUGAGGCUUGUCUCCACUUUUUCCCCGUUUGUGGCUGCUGAUGGUUAGACAUUCCCUCACCUUGUUUUCUCACAUAUCCUCACUUCUGUGUCCAACCCACAGUAGUCGCUCCCAAUGCACUUCCUGGAAAGAGAAAAAUGAGGAGCCUGAAGGAGGUUCACCUGGUGAAGGUGCUUGGUGUCCAAGCUUGAAUGCCCGAGUUUGAUCCCUGGAUCCUGUGUAA
rnacentral:lncRNA from 1 species